rnacentral:rRNA from 1 species
GAUGAACGCUGGCGGCGUGCUUAACACAUGCAAGUCGAACGAGAAGUGGAGACGGAAACCUUCGGGCGGAAGACUUUAUUUCGAGUGGCGGACGGGUGAGUAACGCGUGGGUAACCUGCCUCAUACAGGGGGAUAACAGUUGGAAACGAUUGUUAAUACCGCAUAAGACCACAGCACCGCAUGGUGCGGGGGUAAAAACUCCGGUGGUAUGAGAUGGACCCGCGUUCGAUUAGCCAGUUGGCGGGGUAACGGCCCACCAAAGCGACGAUCGAUAGCCGAUCUGAGAGGAUGACCGGCCACAUUGGGACUGAGACACGGCCCAAACUCCUACGGGAGGCAGCAGUGGGGAAUAUUGCACAAUGGGGGAAACCCUGAUGCAGCGACGCCGCGUGAGUGAAGAAGUAUUUCGGUAUGUAAAGCUCUAUCAGCAGGGAAGAAAAUGACGGUACCUGAGUAAGAAGCCCCGGCUAACUACGU